rnacentral:rRNA from 1 species
GUCGCAAGGCUGAAACUUAAAAGGAAUUGGCGGGGGAGCACCGCAACCUGAGGAUUGUGCGGUUUAAUUGGAUUCAACGCCGGAAAACUCACCAUAGCCGACGGACAUAUGAAGGUCAGUGUAAUGAACUUACCCGAUUGUUCGAGAGGUAGUGCAUGGCCGCCGUCAGUUCGUACCGCAAGGCGUUCUGUUAAGUCAGAUAACGAACGAGACCCUCAUCUCUAUUUGCUAACCAGAUCUCCGGAUCUGGUGCACUAUAGGGAGACCGCUGGCGCUAAGUCAGAGGAAGGGGAGGGCAACGGUAGGUCAGUAUGCUCCGAAUGCUAUGGGCUACACGCGCAAUACAAAGGACAGGACAAUGGGCUGCUGCUCCGAAAGGAAUGAUAGCUAUCCCGAAACCUGUUCGUAGUUCGGAUUGAGGGCCGUAACUCGCCCUCAUGAAGCUGGAUUAGGUAGUAAUCGCGUCUCAAAAAGGCGCGGUGAAUAUGCCCCUGCUCCUUGCACACACCGCCCGUCAAA